GCGAUGAUGAAAUUAUCUGGUCCGUGUUGCUGACUUUCACUGAUUGGAACCCAUCAGAUACUGAGCUUU